rnacentral:rRNA from 1 species
UCGCGGCGGUGAGCGCAGAAGGGUCUGGGCUCGAGCCUGCCCGGAGCCGCCGCCGGUGCAGAUCUUGGUGGUAGUAGCAAAUACUCCAGCGAGGCCCUGGAGGACUGAUGUGGAGAAGGGUUUCGUGUGAACAGCCGUUGCACACGAGUCAGUCGAUCCUAAGCCCUAGGAGAAAUCCGAUGCCAACGGCGAUGGGAAAUCAGACGAAACGAACGAAAGCGGCCCAUUGAUCGGGCGAAAGGGAAUCCGGUUCCUAUUCCGGAACCCGGCAGCGGAACCGUUGUUUGUCGGGCCCUCACAAGGGGUUCGUCAGGGUAACCUAAAAGGGCCCGGAGACGCCGUCGGGAGCCCCGGAAAGAGUUUUCUUUUCUGCAUGAGCGUUCGAGUUCCCUGGAAUCCUCUCGCAGGGAGAUAGGGUUUGGAACGCGAAGAGCACCGCAGUUGCGGCGGUGCCCGGGAAUUCCCGACGGACCUUGAAAAUCCGGGAGAGGGCCACGUGGAGGUGUCGCGCCGGCUCGUACCCAUAUCCGCAGCAGGUCUCCAAGGUGAAGAGCCUCUAGUCGAUAGAAUAAUGUAGGUAAGGGAAGUCGGCAAAUCGGAUCCGUAACUUCGGG